rnacentral:rRNA from 1 species
UAAAUCAGUUAUCGUUUAUUUGAUAGUACCUUACUACCUGGAUAACCGUGGUAAUUCUAGAGCUAAUACAUGCUAAAAACCUCGACUUCGGGAGGGGUGUAUUUAUUAGAUAAAAAACCAAUGCCCUUCGGGGCUCUUUGGUGAUUCAUGAUAACUUAACGGAUCGCAUGGCCUUGCGCCGGCGACGGUUCAUUCAAAUUUCUGCCCUAUCAACUUUCGAUGGUAAGGUAUUGGCUUACCAUGGUUUCAACGGGUAACGGGGAAUUAGGGUUCGAUUCCGGAGAGGGAGCCUGAGAAACGGCUACCACAUCCAAGGAAGGCAGCAGGCGCGCAAAUUACCCAAUCCCGACACGGGGAGGUAGUGACAAUAAAUACUGAUACAGGGCUCUUUUGGGUCUUGUAAUCGGAAUGAGUACAAUUUAAACCCCUUAACGAGGAACAAUUGGAGGGCAAGUCUGGUGCCAGCAGCCGCGGUAAUUCCAGCUCCAAUAGCGUAUAUUAAAGUUGUUGCAGUUAAAAAGCUCGUAGUUGAACCUUGGGCCUGGCUGGCCGGUCCGCCUCACCGCGUGCACUGGUCCGGCCGGGCCUUUCCUCCUGGAGAACCCCAUGCCCUUCACUGGGCGUGGUGGGGAACCAGGACUUUUACUUUGAAAAAAUUAGAGUGUUCAAAGCAGGCCUUUGCUCGAAUACGUUAGCAUGGAAUAAUAGAAUAGGACGUGCGGUCCUAUUUUGUUGGUUUCUAGGACCGCCGUAAUGAUUAAUAGGGACAGUCGGGGGCAUCAGUAUUCAAUUGUCAGAGGUGAAAUUCUUGGAUUUAUUGAAGACUAACUACUGCGAAAGCAUUUGCCAAGGAUGUUUUCAUUAAUCAGUGAACGAAAGUUAGGGGAUCGAAGACGAUCAGAUACCGUCGUAGUCUUAACCGUAAACUAUGCCGACUAGGGAUCGGGCGAUGUUAUUAUUUUGACUCGCUCGGCAC